rnacentral:tRNA from 1 species
GAGGGUGUAGCUCAAGUGGUAGAGCACAUGCUUAGCAUGCAUGAGGUCGUGGGUUCAAUCCUCAGUACCUCCA